UACGUAGGGGGCAAGCGUUGUCCGGAUUUAUUGGGCGUAAAGAGCGUGUAGGCGGCCAGACAGGUCAGCUGUGAAAACUCGAGGCUCAACCUCGAGAUGUCGAUGGAAACCGUCUGGCUAGAGUCCGGAAGAGGAGUGUGGAAUUCCUGGUGUAGCGGUGAAAUGCGCAGAUAUCAGGAAGAACACCUAUGGCGAAGGCAGCACUCUGGGACGGUACUGACGCUGAGACGCGAAAGCGUGGGGAGCGAACAGG
rnacentral:rRNA from 1 species